rnacentral:rRNA from 1 species
GCUACGGGGGGCAGCAGUGGGGAAUAUUGCACAAUGGGGGAAACCCUGAUGCAGCGACGCCGCGUGAGUGAAGAAGUAUUUCGGGAUGUAAAGCUCUGUCAGCAGGGAAGAAAAUGACGGUACGUGAACAAGAAGCCCCGGCAAACUACGUGCCAGCAGCCGCGGGAAUCCGUCGGGGGCAAGCGUUUGCCGGAUUUACUGGGUGUAAAGGGAGCGUCGACGGCAGGGCAGGACUGGAGAUAAAGGCGGGGGCUCACCCCCCGGACUGCUCUGGAAACUGCCAGGCUGGAGUGCAGGAGUGGUAAGUGGAAUUCCUUGUGUAUCGGUGAACUGCGUAGAUAUUAGGAGGAACACCAGUGGCGAAGGCGGCUUACUGGACUGUAACUGACGUUGAGGCUCGAAAGCGUGGGGAGCAAACAGGAUUAGAUACCCGGGUAGUC